CGUUCUCAGGGCGGGGUGCGAUUCCCCACCGGCGGUGAUACGCGGCAGGCCAGGCCUCUGCGUUAGCCCGCGAGCGCUUGCCUCGGCAAGGUCAGCAGACCCGGUGUGAUUCCGGGGCCGACGGUAUAGUCCGGAUGAGAGAGAGCG
rnacentral:ncRNA from 1 species